rnacentral:rRNA from 1 species
GUCUACCACCUUACCACCCUGAACCACUGAAACUCAUCUAAUCUCAGAAUUUAAGGAGGGUUGGGCUAGUUAGUACUUAGAUGUGAAAGAUAUUAUGAAUUACUUCAGGAGAAGAACUGGGUGUUAUCAAAU